rnacentral:rRNA from 1 species
CGUGUAGGCGGCUUGGCAAGUCGGAUGUGAAAUCCCGGGGCCCAACCCCGGAACUGCAUUCGAAACUGCCUGGCUAGAGUCCCGGAGAGGAAGGCGGAAUUCCCGGUGUAGAGGUGAAAUUCGUAGAUAUCGGGAGGAACACCAGUGGCGAAGGCGGCCUUCUGGACGGUGACUGACGCUGAGACGCGAAAGCGUGGGGAGCAAACCGGAUUAGAUACCCUGGUAGUCC